CACGUAGGGUGCGAGCGUUGUCCGGAAUUAUUGGGCGUAAAGAGCUCGUAGGCGGCUUGUCGCGUCGACCGUGAAAACUUGGGGCUCAACCCCAAGCCUGCGGUCGAUACGGGCAGGCUAGAGUUCGGUAGGGGAGACUGGAAUUCCUGGUGUAGCGGUGAAAUGCGCAGAUAUCAGGAGGAACACCGGUGGCGAAGGCGGGUCUCUGGGCCGAUACUGACGCUGAGGAGCGAAAGCGUGGGGAGCGAACAGG
rnacentral:rRNA from 1 species